rnacentral:rRNA from 1 species
UGUGUAGGUGGCGCGCUAAGUCGGGUGUGAAAUUUCGGAGCUUAACUCCGAAACUGCAUUCGAUACUGGCGUGCUUGAGGACUGGAGAGGAGACUGGAAUUUACGGUGUAGCAGUGAAAUGCGUAGAUAUCGUAAGGAAGACCAGUGGCGAAGGCGGGUCUCUGGACAGUUCCUGACACUGGGACACGAAGGCCAGGGGAGCAAACG